CGAAGUAUGAAAUUAUCUUCUUUGGUCUCUGCCGCACCUCUUCCUCUCUGUGUUCUCUUUCUCUUGGGUUUUUCUUCAAUUGAAGAAAGUUGGGGUUUCGAUUGGAGAGGAUGAAGUUGAUUUGCUGUUUUUGGAGGAAGCAAAUUACAAUCACAAAAAACAAGCUUGCUCAAGGUAUGUAACCUUACUGACAUUUCUCUUACUGAUAGAUUAAAUAGGGCUUAAAUAGUUGUAGUUAUCUUGGAUCUUAAUCUCUUUAACAAUGGUUGCCAUGACUAUUAUCCAUCUGUUUGUACAAAGGCCUGAGUGAAUGACCAGUUUAGCUUCUCCUUUUGUUCACUGAACCGAGCUCUUUCUUUUGUGAGGCCACCACGUUGUUUACCCGGUUUGCUUGAAUCUCCACCAGCAAAACAGGUGACUGGGUCCAUACACAUGGGUUUUCAAUUUUUUGUUUUACUAACCUAAAAGUUGAAUGUACAACUAAAAAUUGAAUGUACAAGGAAUAGAAGCCUUUUACAAGUAAUCUCCCUAAAGAAGCCAAAAAGAUACUGAACAGGGAAAUCAAUAAGGAAAGAACAGUUUAAGCACAUAUGGGCCAAAAAGGAAUGCCGUUGCAGUAAGACUUGAUGUUUAUCUGUGAUGACUGUUGCGGAUUGCAUUAGAAGCUUGCAUUUAAAGUGGAGGAUGAGAUUAAGGACAUGAUGGCUGGUGGCGAUGGAAAUUACAUUAUUGCAAGACAAAUGGUAGGUGUGAUUUUAUGUGAUUAUGUUUUUUAUUUUUGUAUGUAGUACUCUAGGUCCCCAAUCAAAGAAAAGGGUGCAUUUUAGAAUUACUUGAAUACAUGUUCUUUGGUGGGAUGAUUUUGAUCAUUAUCACCAGCUGCUUAAGACAUUAAGGUCAGUUUAAUAUACACCUGACAGUUGAACUGUCAGUGAAAAGUUUCUACACCCUGAUAACUAUAUAAGGGGAGUUGAGCAGACCUAAUUAUUUUUACUUCUUAGCACUUGCUUCAAGAGUUUAUGUCUUUAACAAAAUGAGUUCAAAGAGCAACAAAUCUCUUACUUUCGACAUAUGUUCUGAUCUCAUGGAAAGAUUCUUUGAAACUAGAAACUGAAUUUGUUUACAGCUUGAAGUUGACAAGAAAAAAAACAUGAACCCGUGUCAUGUUAUCUACUGACUUAUUAUCUAUUAUAUUGCUUGAUUUGUUGCAGCAAAUACGCUCCAAACUGGCUGAACUGAUCUAAGCUAUGUGGCUUAUCUAUUCCACUGCACUUAAAGUUUUGAAUCAAUAAAGAAAACACAUACUUACCACUGGAUCAAGUACAUAAGAGCAUCUUCAUUUUUUGUAGAAAUAGAAAUAUGCAACCUGCUAGAAUUUCUAAAUUAAACUGCUGUAUUUUUUUCCACAGAUACACUAUAAGAGCAUCUUCAGUGGUAACUUGGUGUGCAUCUUAUGGAGCGCAGGUUGUUGUAUUUCUAAUUCAGGUUGUUAUGACAGGUUGGAACACUUUCAAUUCUUUUGGAACACAUACUACGAUUAAGAUCAAACUACUUUUAUUGGAGCACAAGAAUAGUAACAAGUCUGUUCUCCAUGUCAACUAGGAACAUAAUAACUAAAUCACUGCUCACUAAAAUGUGAUAUAACUGAAGAGUAUUCAUAAUUCAUAGAUUCAGAUGGUUCGUUUUACAAUAGAUUGUAGUGAAUUUGCUUAACAGUUGAUAUUUAAGUGCGACUGGACAGAACAAGGGGUAGCACUAUAAGCUAGAGAAAAACACUAAUGUGUCUGUGUAUAGGGCUUCAGCAUGGAUCCAAGUUAAGUGUCUUACAUCUUUUGACUCAGAUUGGAAGCCAUCCAAGAAACUGCAGUGUAGGAUCCAUUGUUUUUCUUUGCAGAUUCGUCGAUCUUUAUGUGCCCCUUCUGCUUUUUGAGGCUCCCGUUGUUAGGGUUAUAACGUUAUGUUUCUUCCUCUAGCAAUCUGUCAGACUGUAAGCUCACAUCCUUCAUUCAUAGUGUAAUUGUAGGUACACCAAAUUGAAACUAUUAUGCCAAAGAGUAACGAAUCAAUCCAUUCAUAGUGUAAUUGGCGCACACACGUCCAACAUUACCACUGAUGCUAUCCGAAUAAUAUCGGUUGCUAUAUGCUUCCGAGAGAAUUCUUAAAAUGAAUGAAGUAGUCUAUUUGGACUAACAUAUGGCAUAGAUACUCUAAAUGCGCAUCAUUUGUAAGUUUGUGAAGCGAUGUAAAAAAAGACACAAGUAUGUGAAUAGUUUGACCGUGAAAACCCUCUUUGUUAUAUUCGAAAUAUGGAUCCAUUCAUAAUUGCUCCUUCCAUUGCUUCAUAUAAUGUUGUCAUGUUUACAUUAUCGUUGGCAGUACCUAUGAGAAGGUAAUCAGUAACCCCUACAAACACAUUAGGUUCUUUUUUUACUUAACUAUUUAGCUGUGUUGUGCUAACUUUAAUCCUUCAUUGCAUUAUUUUUUGUAGGUGUUGUUCCAGUGAUAUUUGCUUAGCCAAUGGUUUUCACUACCGCAAACGUAACAUGCAUAUGGCAGCUAAACUGGGGUUGCUCUAAGUUGAUCACUGAAUUUCUCAAAACAAGCGUAAUGUGUUUGUGGGCUUACAAUAUUGGUCUUCCGAGUAUUAAGCUAAAUUGUCCCAAGGUUGUGUAAGGUUGUGUAAUUCACGAAUGAUGUAUAACUUAAUGUCAGAAUUUAGUUCGUUAUCUUUUUUA